GGCUGGACAGGGCCAGAUGCUCUCCCCCUGCUUAACCGAAAGGGCAUCACCGCUUUGCUGGGUGCCCCGUUGCUCAGUCCACAGGGGGACCUUGCCUCUCCAAGCAGACCGGGCUAAUCAUUACUUGACUUUUAUUUGAACAUCUGCGCCCUGCCACAGGCCCCAAAGUGGCCAACCAAAACUAAAAUUCCAUAGAAAGCAAAAAGGUCAUUUCCCAAAGCGCCAUGAAAUGGGGCACACCCCACAUGCUGUGGGGGCAGAGCAGGCACUGGAAAACUACCACUAGAAGACAAACAACCCUGUUCAAAGCAGCCAUUGAGCAGCAACUGUUACCCAGCAACCAUCAAUGAUAGAACCCUGGCCCUGUUUGAGCAGGAAUAACUGUCCUUCUGGCCUUCCUCUUCCCUGGGGGUUACCAACCUCUCCUCCUGUGCCUUUCAAAGCAACCCAAGAAAAGUGUCAGGAGAUAAGGAUCAGAUGAGGAUCUGGGGCCCAAUUCUCAUUCAGCCUGAAGCUCCCUGGGGGGAAUUGGGGCCAAUCUCUUGCUAUCUACUGGCUUUUGGCCAAAGGCAUUCAAGACUCUUCAGAAAUGGAUUGCGAGAACGCCUGACCUGAGAAAUUGACACAAGAUUGAGCGGAGGUGAAUGCACUGUUUAACGAGAAGAAGGCAGAUCACCAAAGACGGUGGGAGUCCUGUGAUGAGGUUGGGAGGUCGGGAGAAGCUAAGAAGAAGGAGAGAAGAGACUCUACAGUGGGAGAACCACUUUGGGAAGAGCAGGAUCAGCCCCUUUAUCAUUUCAGUUUGCCUCUUCUGCUGCACCUUCUUCAGUUCGACAGUAUCGCUUUUUUGGUAAUCUGGCGACCGGAACGAUACACUUUACUUCUGAGGAACAGCUACAACUGGAAACAAGGUCAGCUUCAUGUUGUUGUUGUUGUUGUUGUUGUUGUUGUUGUUGUUGUUGUUGUUAUAGCCCAGUAUGCUUCCAGACCACCUUGGGUAUAUUCUCUCUUUUUGACAGUUAAAGCACCACAUUUUCAUUGAUGCCAGGAGAUGUUGAACAGUAGGGCACACAUCCUGGGGUGCCUCUGUUAUGGCACAAGAGAUAUUCCCAGACUGAUUGGGCAGGGUUUGGACCACAAUGUGUGUCUGGACAUUUAAAUUUGCAUUCUGAUUGGGCAAGACCUCUAGGGUUUUUAAAUUCUGUCUUGAUCGAAUUGGGCAAGAUCUCUAGGAUUUUUAAAUUGUAUAUGGAAUUGGGCAAGAUCAAGGCCUGUGUGGGCCUCGAUUUUUAAAUUGCAUCCCCCAGCUUGACCUUUACAAUUGUAUUCUGAUUGGGCAAGACCUCUAGGGUUUUUAAAUUCUGUAUGGAAUUGGGCAAGAUCAGGGCCUGUGUGGGCCUCGAUUUUUAAAUUGCAUCCCCCAGCUUGACCUUUACAAUUGUAUUCUGAUUGGGCAAGACCUCUAGGGUUUUUUAAUUCUGUAUGGAAUUGGGCAAGAUCAGGGCCUGUGUGGGCCUCGAUUUUUAAAUUGCAUCCCCCAGCUUGACUGAGCACACAAUCUCUAGGUUCCCUUAGAGUGAAUUGGGCAUGAUACCCUUUUUUUUAAAUUCCAUGUUUGGGCAGCUUUCAGCCAGUGGACUGGAGUCCCAUGAGCUUGGAAUCUCCAAUGGCUCAACUGGGCAAGACAAUUGGUGUCUUUAAAUUCUGUCAGGGCCUUGUGGACAUAUUUUUCAGCCAGGGGUGUAGUGUUAAAUUUGGAUCGACUGACCACCCACUUUUAUUCAUGCUCAUGAUAAAGUCUGAAUCAAAUGGAUCACGUUGCGUGUUUUAUAUGCGCUGUGUCCCAAGUCUUGAGUGACCCAUGAAGAGAUGAGUUCUUCUUUAGUGCGCUCAUGGCCAUCUCGGAUCCUUAUUCCUUACUCAAGGAAAGCAUUGAUUUUGAAUGCUGGGCUCAAGGUUUUGAUGCUUUUCUGUCUAUUGAUAAAAUGGAAGGAAUCAUUUCACAUGCCAAUGUUUAAAUUGGUUCUGUCAUGCAAGGGUUUUGAGAACUGUCUGGACUAAAGAAAUAGUUUGAUUGCCUUGUCAGCAAGAGAGGUGCCUGCAGCCUAGGCGGCAACCAUGCUAUCUUGCACAGACACAAAAAGCCUUUUGGAAGGUUGUGUCUUUGUUGAAGAUGAUGUUUAGCAUUUUAGCAUUCAAGACUCUUCAGACACGGAUUGCGAGAACGCCUGGCCUGAGAAAUUGACACCCGAGUGAAUGGAGGCGAAUGCACCUGCUUAAGUUGAGGAAGGCAGAUCACCAAAGGCGGCAGGAGUCCUUUGGUGAGGAUGGGGUGAGUAACUGGGCCUGACUGGUUGGAUGAUGCCCCAUCUGUACUGGGCCUUUUCCAAACCAGAUGCUAAUUUUUUUCCCCUUUAAGUUCGGCACUGACAUUUUUAUUGACUUAGUGAAGGGGUGUUGCGACAGCUACCUGGGGAACUCUGGAAAUGGGCCCAGAAUUAUGUAAGGAUGACCAGAAACUGUGUAUUUAUUAAAAUUGACUUGGACCUUUCUUUUUAAAAAUAUAUAUAUAUUAAAGUAACCUGGAAAUUGUACUGUCAGAGUGAAUGCAGAAGAAAAGUGACGUAACAUCAGAUAAUCGCUGGGGGAGUGAUGUGAUACUGAGGUAAUCUUCUGCCUUCUUUUUCAAAUGGUAAGUGAAAUAAAGGCAAAAAGUAAGAAAUAUCUUACAUAAAAGAUGCAUGGGUGAGCAGGCAUUUGGGCAAAUGGAACCAUCCCCCCCGCAGCCCCCCAGCCCCAAUCAGUGACAAAAUGUGGAGCCCCACCACCACAUGGAGCUCUAAAAUGGUUCGGGAAAUCCCGGAUGGUGUUGGGGAACUCUGACUCAAUGUAGGCUUCCCAACGUCGGGAUUGGCUGAUCCCCGAACGUGGCCCAUCUCAGGCCAUGUCCAACACAACUGAUGCAGACUUGAACAGCCGUAUAUUAAGCACCUUCUCUCUUUCUGUUCUGAUUCUGUCCCCAUACUGAGCUGAACAGACCCAAGCCCAGAGAUGGAAGGGGAGCUGAAAAGGCUGGAGAACAGCAGAGACGCUCUCAAGGCUGGCUUCUACGAAUCCUUCGGUGGACUGCAUCCUCCUCAUGACUCUGAUGACAGUAGCAAUGGACCGAGAGAGAACCUACAUUAUGUGUUCAGGGCUACAGAAAUCCCCCUCCACUUGGCCUCGUGCAGAGGGGAGGGAGUUUGUCCCAGCCCCGCUCUGCACGAGGCCCAAGAAGCUGGCCGAUUGGCCCUUUGGGUUAGGGGGUGGGGUUUCGGCCGGGAUGAUCCCCGCCCCGUUCUCCUCAGUUUGGGCCAGGCAUUCCCCUCCCUCCCUCCCUGGUACAGAGCGGGUCUAGCGACUGGUCGCCCAAUGGGGCCGAGUAGGAAUUUUUGGCUCCCAACGCAUUGGCCACUGUUGGGUUUUUUUUCGCCUACUCCGUUCUGUGUUCCAGGUGUGUAGUUAGAGUUAGGCCGGUCACAAUGGCAAUAACAGUGCGGGCGGGGUGGUAAUUUGAGGGUUUUCCGAGCCAGGGUGUGUCGCCCAGUAAGGUGCUAGGUAGGACGUCAGAGUUCUAACCCGGUCCUCUUGGCCCGCACUGUUCUCUAAGGGUGAUUAAUCACCUGGUGUUCCAGUCCGCCAUGUCUUUUGUUACAGUUAAUAAAGUUGUGGCCCUUUUACCCAUA